ensembl:lncRNA
CGAGAGAGAGAGAGAGAGAGAGAGAGAGAGAGAGAGAGAGAUUGGAGAACACACAGAUCCGUCUUCUGUAGAUCACCUACAAAGUGUCAGAAAUAGAGCUGAGUUUAAGACAGGUGCGUACAACUCGUCUUGCAUGAGACCCUGGGUGGUGCACUAAAACACAAUCUGAGAGAGGAUACAGGUUGACUGACUAAUGUCAAGAAGGAAAACGAGAAAAACUGAAAGAAGAACAAGAGACCAAGAUGUAUGCUGAAAUUACCCAUCUCUGCACGGUACGCGUGAGCUGGUUUGUCAUAAACAUCUGUUAAAUCCUCCUCGUUUGAGCAUCGCUAAUGAGGCGAAGGGUGUGACAGAACAGAUGCCUCAGAGUGCGAAAACAAGAUACAGAGGCGAGACUGUGGAAAAAAGAGAGAGAAUUGAACGAUGUGGAUGAAAAAAAAUGCAUUAAAUUGAUCAAAGGGACAGCAAAGACAUUUACAGAAGAUUUCUAUUCCAAAUAAAUGCAUUUCUUCUAUUCA